ACCACAUGUAUUCAGGGUUUCUUUACAGUUUUUGCCCGUUGCUUGAACACUAUAAACCCAUGCUCAGACUAAAGUAACACAACGUGAAGCUUUUGUUACCAUACCUCAAACACAUGUACCCAUACCUUAAACAAAAGCGCUGCUUUGCACCCCAGUACCAAUUAUGCAACACUCCUACUCCUUUAUGCAACACACCUACCCCUUUAUGCAACACACAUGGUCCUGCAUGCUACACUCUAUUUCAUACAUAAGACACUUCGCUCACAAAAUGAAAUCUCAGGGUGCCAUUCGGAAAACACAUGUAUCCAAAAUACAAAACACAUCGGGUAAUUGCAACCACUCAAAUACACACCUGAAGGCACGUACUUGCAAAACUGAACACCAAUUAGCCAACUACAAAAAGCCCUCAGCGUAGCCAUUUCAAGAACUUUGCAAGCAUGGAUGGAGGGAGAGCAAGAGGAAGAGGAAGAGGUAGAGGAGGAGGAGGAAGAGGAGGAGAAGGCCGAAGAGGCCAUGAACGGACCCAUAUUUCUGAUGAAAUAAGAGCAACUUUGGUGGACCAUGUCAUCAACCAUGGCCUGACUAUGAGGGAAGCUGGGCAGAGAGUCCACCCACAUCUAAGCCGCUUCACAGUGGCAUCUGUAAUACGAACAUUCCGACUAGAAAACAGGUCUGUCUUCACCUCCAUACCUUCUGCUCUACUCAGAUGGUUUCAUAGCACUGUUCUACAGUAUAUCACAUUACCAUAUCAAGUGUACGGGGUGCUAAUGCUCCUUUUGCAGCCAAAGUGGCUGAUUCCUUAUAUUGAAGUACAGUGUUGUACAGUGGAUGACACAGUACAUACAGUAAAGUACUGUAAGAAAAAUAAGCAAACCGAUGACAAUAUGUGGUUGUAUUCCUCCAGAAUGACCCGAAGACCUUCUGGGGGAGGACGGCAACGCCUGUUCACACAACAGCAGGAACUUGCCGUUGUGGACCUAGUGAGGGCAGACAAUGCCAUCCGUCACCAGGUUUGUGGUGAUAUGGGAUCAUGUCAGUUUCCAUCGGGCUGCUCUGGUCUAGGCCUGGUUCUCCAACCACAAUCAAUUUGAAGUGGCAAUGGAACAGGCCUGCGGCGACAUUCAGGUGACAGCAAUCCAUGGAUGGUUUCGACAUGCAAGAGGAUAUUUUCCCCGGUGCCCAGCGGGAGAGGACACUGCUUGCGAUGUUGAUGAGGUCCUGUGGCCAGACCCCAACAGACGGCGGGAUCCAUGAGCCCACUUAUGCACAAUUGUCAUGGUUUUUUGUGUUUACAGUAUAGUGUUUUUUCUAUUGCAGUAUUAUUGUGUUGUGGGUUUUUUUUUUUUUUUUGCUUUAUCUGAAUUCAUGGUACUGCGAUGUACAAUAUUGAGUAGGUCUAUUUGCAUUUUUGGUUGUUUGGAAAUGUGUCUCCUGUAAAUGUGCCUUCUGAAUACACAAUGGAAAUCAAGGACUGCAGUGUUUUAUGUAAAGAAGACUAGUGUGUUCCCCCUGAUCUGUAAGUGUUUGCAUAUGAUGCAAGUAUGUGUCAUUUUGUCAACAGAGUUACAUUUUGACAGAGGAAUGUCAGGUUUUGACAGCAGAGUUUAGGUUUUGGGAGUGGAGUUUCAUUUUGGCACAGAUGUGUAUGGUAUAUUUCCCAGUGUUGUGUCGUGUUUACUUGUGUUUAGAGUUUUGGCACAAUGAGCGACGUUUUGCCAAAUGUGUUCAAGCAAUGGGCAAAAACUGUAAUAUAAUGUUCUUCAGCUUCUCUACCUGCUGUCUAUGUGUUCACGCUUUGUUGCAGUGACCCGAUGCCACCUAAUUUGCGCGCCAAUGGAUGAUUAGAGUUAAAUGUUUAAGAGUUAACCUUAAAAACAUUGGUUUAUAGACAAUGUUCCCUGGCACGG
ensembl:lncRNA